GCUGGGUAUGGUGGUGCAUGCCUGUAAUUCCAGCUACUCAGGAAGCUGAGGCAGGAGACUCGCUUGAACCCAGGAAACGGAGGCUGCAGUGAGACAUCUGCCACUGCACUCCAGCCUGGGUGACAGAGUGAGACUCUGUCUCAA
ensembl:misc_RNA Metazoa_SRP Metazoan signal recognition particle RNA